GGUAUUUAAUAAUCGACAAUAAUGAAACUUAUAACUAUAAAGUUCAAAACUCUUAAAAAUAUUUUUAUUAAAUUCGAUUUAGAAGUUUUAAACAACAAUUUAAAUAGGUGUAUUUACAUUUUUAAAUUGAUCUACACAAAAUUGCUUUUAUUAUUUACAAAUUCAUUCUUUACUACCAUUUAUAAAUGAUUUUUUUUUAUCAACGUAUGCACUUAUUGUCCUUGUGUAAGACUAACGGAUUGAAACGGCUAAGGAGUGCAAUUGCCAAUUUGACUAUCGAAUCAUCGUAAUCCAGACAACAAUAUGUUUGUAAAGUUUAAACUUUAAAGUGAUAUAAUAAAUGAGAAGAGCUAUAAUUGCGAACAUGUAACUAAUCUAACGUGUAGCUCAUCCAAGAGGGAUGCAAAACAUCAAGUAAAGCAGCAACGUAAUAUUAUUCAAAGUAACAAAGACUCAUAUGAUUUGUUCACCUAUUCUGCAGACGGAUGAAAAAAACUUCACGAGUCUCGUACCGUUAAUCGUUACACACUGAUAACAGGUUCAAAAAGUUAACCAACUUAUGAAUUCGACAGCGGCACCGACGUUGUAGUCGACACAACAGGGGUGGGAUGUAAUUGGUUGAACCAUCACCGCUGCCUAGACGUACGACUUAAACAGCAAUAGACGGUAAC